rnacentral:misc_RNA from 4 species
AACGCAUCUUGCGCUUCUUGGUAUUCCAAGGAGCAUGCCUGUUUGAGUGUCAUUAAAGUUCUCAAAACCCACAUGGUGGAAUUUUGGAUAUGGGGGUUGCAGGCUUUUUGAAGUCGGCUCCUCUGAAAUGUAUCAGUGGUAUCUGUGUGGAACUACAGGUGUGAUAAAUGAAAUCUAUGCCUCGUCUCUCACUGUGCUGCUUCUGGCGGAGUUGGAUUGACAAAUUUGACCUCAAAUCAGGUAGGACUACCCGCUGAACUUAA